AUACAAAUAUGUAUUCUAUAUGCUUGCCUCAAGUGUGAAGAGAUGUAGAUUUGCACUCCAAAACUUUUGAAAGUAUACUUCUCUCUCCAUCUCCUAUUUGAAAAUAAUGCCAUUCAACACGCAAUUCCAAAACAGUACAUAAAAUUGUUUGAAUUUUUAAAAAUAAAUCUCAAAAUAAACUAGAUGAAAUUCUAAACUAGUAGGAAAAAGAAUCAAAUGAUUUGGAGUUUCCAAUUAUAAGUUAUAACCAGUCAAACUUGCUGGUCAAAUCUGUUUAGAAAAAAUCAAUAUAAAAGAAAACACUCUGGAUAGAAUAUGCAUUCGGUUAGCGAAUACAUACCCUCAUCUCUACGCCUCCACCUAAGACGAGCUGGCCCCCUGGUCAGGUUUGACCGGUCCACCCUUCUCUCUCCCUCCAUCAGCAGCCAGAGCUUGGCUUCCGGCGUCUCUCACCAGCGAACGGCGGCGCCCCAAGGGGUUUUGGCUAUGGGAAUGGGUGUAGGGAACCCGGCUGGUGGCCUUGAUGGUCUUCACGGAUGCGACGGGGCAGGGAGUCAACAGCGACCAACUCCCCGGCGGGCAGCGGCUUCGGCCCCGAGGGGGGAUUCGCCCAAGGGUGUCCUUGAGAGAGGAUUGAGAGGGGGAAUUGGUCUGCGGCACCGCGCAGAGGCUAACAACAGCAACAGGGUCGAGGGGGAGGCUCUGGUUGAGGUGAAUUCCACCGGAGACGGCGGCGGCCGAUGCUACCGGAGGUGGGGAAGAUGAUUGCAGGGGUCAAAUUACCUCUGUGGUUGGCUUGCUAUGGGUCGGGGCAGGGUGACGGAGCAUGC
rnacentral:lncRNA from 1 species